UGGGGAAUAUUGCACAAUGGGCGCAAGCCUGAUGCAGCCAUGCCGCGUGUGUGAAGAAGGCCUUCGGGUUGUAAAGCACUUUCAGCGAGGAGGAAGGUGGUGAACUUAAUACGUUCAUCAAUUGACGUUACUCGCAGAAGAAGCACCGGCUAACUCCGUGCCAGCAGCCGCGGUAAUACGGAGGGUGCAAGCGUUAAUCGGAAUUGCUGGGCGUAAAGCGCACGCAGGCGGUUUGUUAAGUCAGAUGUGAAAUCCCCGGGCUCAACCUGGGAACUGCAUUUGAAACUGGCAAGCUAGAGUCUCGUAGAGGGGGGUAGAAUUCCAGGUGUAGCGGUGAAAUGCGUAGAGAUCUGGAGGAAUACCGGUGGCGAAGGCGGCCCCCCUGGACGAAGACUGACGCUCAGGCUGCGAAAGCGUGGGGCAGCAAACAGGAUUAGAUACCCUGGUAGUCCACGCUGUAAACGAUGUCGAUUUGGAGGUUGUGCCCUUGAGGCGUGGCUUCCGGAGCUAACGCGUUAAAGUCGACCGCCUGGGGGAG
rnacentral:rRNA from 1 species